UGAAUACGAGACGCUAAGGCGUCGAAGUAGUGUAUGUCAUACUUCCAAGAAAAGCUUGCACUGUCAUAGAUAAAAAACGCCUGUACCAUAACCGACACAGGUGGGUAGGUAGAGUAUACUAAGGGGCGCGAGAUAACUCUCUCUAAGGAACUCGGCAAAAUGACUCCGUAACUUCGGGAGAAGGAGUGCCUUAUUCUUAAGGUUGCAAUAACAAGAUCCAAGCAACUGUUUAUCAAAAACACAGGUCUCCGCUAAGUCGUAAGACGAUGUAUGGGGGCUGACGCCUGCCCAGUGCCAGAAGGUUAAAGAAGUUGGUUAGCAUUUGCGAAGCUGAUAACUGAAGCCCUGGUGAACGGCGGCCGUAACGAUAACGGUCCUAAGGUAGCGAAAUUCCUUGUCGGGUAAGUUCCGACCCGCACGAAAGGCGUAAUGAUUUGGAUACUGUCUCGGAGAGGGGCUCGGUGAAAUAGACUUGUCUGUGAAGAUGCGGACUACCUGCACCAGGACAGAAAGACCCUAUGAAGCUUUACUGUAACUUGAAAUUGAAAUUGGACUUUAUUCGCGCAGUAUAGGUGGGAGGCGUUGAUUAUAAUCUUGCGGGAUUAUUGGAGCCAUCAGUGAGAUACCACCCCUGUAAUGUUAGAUUUCUAACUUUGAAUCAUUAUCUGGUCAAAGAACAGUUUCAGGCGGGCAGUUUGACUGGGGCGGUCGCCUCCUAAACGGUAACGGAGGCGUACAAAGGUUUCCUCUGAACGGUUAGAAAUCGUAUCUAGAGUGUAAAGGCAUAAGGAAGCUUGACUGUGAGACCUACAAGUCGAGCAGGGACGAAAGUCGGUCUUAGUGAUCUGACGGUACUGAGUGGAAAGGCCGUCACUCAACGGAUAAAAGUUACUCUAGGAUAACAGGCUGAUCUCCCCCAAGAGUUCACAUCGACGGGGAGGUUUUGGCACCUGGAUGUCGGCUCAUCGCAUCCUGGGGCGGUAGUACGUCCCAAGGGUUGGGCUGUUCGCCCAUGAAAGCGGUACGCGAGCUGGGUUCAGAACGUCGUGAGACAGUUCGGUCCAUAUCCGGUGUAGGCGUUAGAAUAUUGAGAGGAGCCUUCUUUAGUACGAGAGGACCGAGAAGGACAUACCUCUGGUGUACCAGUUAUCGUGCCAACGGUAAACGCUGGGUAGCUAUGUAUGGAGUGGAUAACCGCUGAAAGCAUCUAAGUGGGAAGCCCACCUCAAGAUAAGUAUUCUC
rnacentral:rRNA from 1 species